rnacentral:rRNA from 1 species
AGAUUGAACGCUGGCGGCAUGCUUUACACAUGCAAGUCGAGCGGCAGCGCGGGAGCAAUCCUGGCGGCGAGCGGCGAACGGGUGAGGGAAUACAUCGGAACGUACCCCGGAGUGGGGGGAUAACGCCGCGAAAGCGGCGCUAAUACCGCAUAUGCUCUGAGGAGGAAAGUGGGGGACUCGCAAGGGCCUCACGCUCUGGGAGCGGCCGAUGUCCGAUUAGCUAGUUGGUGGGGUAAAGGCCCACCAAGGCGACGAUCGGUAGCUGGUCUGGAGACGGAUGAUACGACGACCACACGUGGGACUGAGACACGGCCCAGACUACCGUACGGGACGCAGCAGGUAGGGAAUUUUGGACCAAGUGGGGGACUAACCCGUGAACUCCAACGCCUAA